UUAGGGCAAGUCUGGUGCCAGCAGCCGCGGUAAUUCCAGCUCCAAUAGCGUAUAUUAAAGUUGUUGCAGUUAAAAAGCUCGUAGUUGAAUUUCGAGAUCAAAUUGUUGGUCGUGCCUUGGUACGCACUGGCAUUAUUGGUUUCUCCCUUCUGACGAACCAUGAUGUCAUUAAUUUGGUGUCUUGGGAAAUCAGGACUGUUACUUUGAAAAAAUUAGAGUGUUUAAAGCAGGCUCACGCUUGAAUACAUUAGCAUGGAAUAAUGAAAUAGGACGUUUGAUUCUAUUUUGUUGGUUUCUAGGAUCGACGUAAUGAUUAAUAGGGAUAGUUGGGGGCAUUAGUAUUCAAUUGUCAGAGGUGAAAUUCUUGGAUUUAUUGAAGACUAACUACUGCGAAAGCAUUUGCCAAGGAUGUUUUCAUUAAUCAAGAACGAAAGUUAGGGGAUCGAAGACGAUCAGAUACCGUCGUAGUCUUAACCAUAAACUAUGCCGACUAGGGAUCGGAUGAUGUUAAUUUUUUAAUGACUCAUUCGGCGCCUUACGGGAAACA
rnacentral:rRNA from 1 species